rnacentral:RNase_P_RNA from 1 species
CGGGGCGGACAGCCGCGGAUGGGAACCGAAAGGACCCAGAUGAGGAAAGUCCGGGCUCCACAGGGCAAGGAUAACGGGUAACGCCCGCCGGGGGUGACCCCAGGACAAGUGCAACAGAGAGAUACCGCCCCGCUUUUUGCAGGGUAAGGGUGAAAAGGUGCGGUAAGAGCGCACCCAGCCCAUGGAAACAUGGGUCAAGAGCGCCUAUGCGCUUCAUGCUGUAAACUCUAUCCGGAGCAACACCGUGUACGGGACAUUUGGCUUGCCCGGCCGUCCCGAAGAGGUGGCUUGACUUUGCCGGCAACGGCAAGGCUAGAUAGAUGGCUGUCAAGACAGAACCCGGCUUACAGCCCC